GUGGUGACUGUCACUAGUCACCACCUCCCUCACUUUGUCCCUAGUCACUCCUCCCUCUGUCACUAGUCACCCCCACCCUCUCUGUGUCACUAGAGUGAAGGGGUGACAGGUGACAGAGUGAGGGAAGGGGUGACUAGUGGCAGAGUGAGGGAAGGAAGGGGUGACUAGUGACAGUGAGGAAGGGGGUGACACGGUGACAGAGUGAGGGAGGGGGUGACACAGUGACAGAGUGAAGGAGGGGGUGACUGUCACUAGUCACCCCAUCCCUCCCUCUGUCACUAAUCAUCACCUCCCUCACUCUGUCACUAGUCACCCCUUCCCUCCCUCACUCUGUCACUAGUCACCCCCUCCCUCUCUAUGACACUAAUCACCCCCUCCCUCACUCAGUCACUAGAGUGAGGGG